ACUGCCCAUUGCCCUUGUGCGCUGUGUGGGGCCCAGCCCUCCCCCGUUCCCCUGUGCACUGUGGUGCCUGGCGCUGCCCCCUGCCCCUGUGCAUGGUGUGGGGCCUGGCGUUGCCAUUGUGCUCUACGCAGUUCAUUGCGCUCCAUAUUUUGGGGAGCCUGGUUGCCUUGCAGGGUGCACGGUGCUGCUUGUGGCACCACGAGCCCCACUCCGCUGAGAGUCUCUUGGAGUUUUGAUGCACUGGGUUGUGUUGCAGCAAGUCCCUUCGUGCCCCGAUGUGACUUAAAAAUAAUAAAAUUGGGACGCUUUUUAUUUGCUUUUCACUCGGGUCACAUUUUCAAGUGUUUCUCUACAGUCUUGAGGGCUAGAUUAUGUAUUUUUAAGACUGAAAGCUGAGAUUCACAUGACUCCAGAAGUUGGGUGUAGGGAGGCUGUGUGGUUUCCCGGUGCCCCAGAGUGGGACGGACAUGAGAGUGGGCGGAGCCAGAGCACUCUAAGCUUGCCCCCUAGAGGGUCAGAGGCAGGACAGGCAAUAUAAGAGCUCAACCCCAGAGCUCAUUUAAGAGGCAGCUGCUGGAGAAGCCGGACACCUCUGGCCCAGCUCCCGCUGGGGAGACUCCAGCAACAGACCUAGAGACUGGCCUGAUAGGCUGAUAUUCAACGCGGACCAGCAUGUGGGAGAGACCCCGAGCUUUCCCCUUGCCAGCUACCUUGAAGAGACCCCGAGCCUUCCCCUCGCCAGUUACCCUGAAGAGACCCCGAGCCUUCCCCUCGCCAGCUACCUGAGGAUCCAAUGGUGAUCAACCCCCUGGAGGACCCCACCUUGACCCAGCCCCUGCUAGACGGCUUGAACCAGGACUCCUGCGGCCUGACUGAUUCCCCAAGGGGCUGUGCAAGGACUGAGGGAGGCAGUGUGGUUCCCCGCCGCCCCGGAAAGGGACGACCCUGACGAACCCUCUCUACAUUGGGGCUUUAAGAAAAAUAUUGUGAGAGUUGGUAGAGCUGCAAGAGACACAUCUGUAGUGUGCAAAUGCCACUCUAACCAGACAGCUGGACAUUCCUGAUUGCUGAAACAGCACAGCACACAUGGCAUGCAACUCAGUGCAACCAGGGCAGCAGUAACAUUCCUGGGUAUACAUAGGAAAUAAGUUAUGCACUAGCCUAACUAG